GAUGAACGCUGGCGGCGUGCCUAAUACAUGCAAGUCGAGCGAACAGACGAGGAGCUUGCUCCCCUGACGUUAGCGGCGGACGGGUGAGUAACACGUGGAUAACCUACCUAUAAGACUGGGAUAACUUCGGGAAUCCGGAGCUAAUACCGGAUAAUAUAUUGAACCGCAUGGUUCAAUAGUGAAAGACGGUUUUGCUGUCACUUAUAGAUGGAUCCGCGCCGCAUUAGCUAGUUGGUAAGGUAACGGCUUACCAAGGCAACGAUGCGUAGCCGACCUGAGAGGGUGAUCGGCCACACUGGAACUGAGACACGGUCCAGACUCCUACGGGAGGCAGCAGUAGGGAAUCUUCCGCAAUGGGCGAAAGCCUGACGGAGCAACGCCGCGUGAGUGAUGAAGGUCUUCGGAUCGUAAAACUCUGUUAUUAGGGAAGAACAAAUGUGUAAGUAACUAUGCACGUCUUGACGGUACCUAAUCAGAAAGCCACGGCUAACUACGUG
rnacentral:rRNA from 1 species